ensembl:lncRNA
UGCCUUGUUUCUUCCUUGCUGUGCGCUCCCAUGAGCCAGAAUUUCAAGAAACUGGUACAUAUAACACAGCAACUGCAUUUCCUGUACUUUGCAACCAAAUGAAUAACAAUAGCAGCUCCUGGAAGCUUGCUGCUAAUCCGAGUUCAGCCUGCUCCUGCCCUUCAAUGGCCUGAGUCUCUGGACAUCAUAUGGACUGCACCCCCAGGAUCAGAAGCCCCUUCUCCUUCCCUUCUGUUCUGACAAAUGGCAGAUGGAUUCACUCCCUCCUCAUGCAGG